GCCAACCUUUCCCUAUUGUCAACAUUGUUUUGUUGGCAUGAUGUUGGACGGAUAUCAAUUUUUGCGGUAUUUACAUUGGCCUAACAUUAUAAUCUUUACCAAAUGCCAACACUUCGAGAUUGGCGAUAUUCUUGUCUUAUUAAUGUUUGUCCAACACUACUUUUGCGACAUGAAAAAGUUGAGAUUUUAAUAGUGGCUUAGCAUUUAUAUUUUUUACCUUUACCAGAUGAUGUUGGCGUAAUCGGAUAUCAAUUUCGCGAUAUCAUUUUCAGGUCUAAGUAAUUACGAAGGCCCAACAUUAUUUUUUAGACUGUUUGCCAACGUUCCACAACUGACAAUAUUGUUGAUGUUGUAUUUAUGUUGUUCCAACACGACUUUUGUGACAUCAUAAAGAAGUCGAAUUACAACGUUAGCCCAAUAUUAUAUACGUUGACACUUUUCCAACCUUUCCUUAUUGUCAACAUUUUGACGUUGGCAUGAUGUUGGUGGAUAUCAAGUUUGUGAUAUUGUAAUUGGGUUAGAAUAUUUACGUUGGCCCAACAUAAUUUGACUUGUUGCCAACAUUGCAUAAAUGCCGAUAAUGCCAAAAUUGGCACAAUAUUAGUUCAAUGUCAGCCUUACCGAUCACGAUUUGUGCACUUUAUUCUAACACUUUAUUGUUCUUCAUGUAAAUGUAAUACUCUGAUUCUUGUAAUUUCAAUUCCAUAUCAUAUUGUUAACUUCAUUGUUUCAAUUGCUUUCACAGAUACUUGAUUGACAUUGACGAGAAAUGUUUUACUACUUUCGAAGAAGGAUUUGUGGAUCCUGGUCAUGGCUUUAGCUUGGAUGAUUUAAGUACAAUAGAUGGAUGCUUAGAAAAUGGAACAUCAUGUCCUGCCUUUGCUUACUAUCCAAACAGUACCGUUA